AAUCAGUGGAGUUAUUUAGCAAUCAUCACACUAUUAGUUUAAUAAUUGGUUUUAAAAUGAUACCAGCUGUUAGAAAAGUAGUGAGAAUAAAAAUUCCUCAUUCUCUUCAUGAUGAUGAAAGUGAAGUUUGUGUUAUAACUAAAGACCCACAAGCUGAUUACAAAAAACUUUUUAAAUCCAAGAACAUAAAAGUCAUUAAGAAGGUCAUGAGUGUUUCUAAACUUCAGAAAAAAUACAAACCAUAUGAAGCUAAAAGAAAUCUUUGCAAGUCAUACGAUCUUUUUUUGGCAGACAAACGGAUUUAUUACAAACUUUCAACCCUUCUUGGAAAAUAUUUUUAUAUAAG